GUAGGGAAUAUUGGUCAAUGGAUGGAAGUCUGAACCAGCCAUGCCGCGUGCAGGAAGAAGGCCUUCUGGGUUGUAAACUGCUUUUGCCAGGGGAUAAAAAGACCGUGCGCGGUUAAUUGAAGGUACCUGGUGAAUAAGCCACGGCUAACUACGUGCCAGCAGCCGCGGUAAUACGUAGGUGGCAAGCGUUGUCCGGAUUUAUUGGGUUUAAAGGGUGCGUAGGCGGCCCUGUAAGUCAGUGGUGAAAUAUCUCAGCUUAACUGAGAGGGUGCCAUUGAUACUGCAGGGCUUGAGUACAGAUGAGGUAGGCGGAAUUGACGGUGUAGCGGUGAAAUGCAUAGAUAUCGUCAAGAACACCGAUAGCGAAGGCAGCUUACUAAGCUGUAACUGACGCUGAGGCACGAAAGUGUGGGGAUCAAACAGGAUUAGAAACCCUAGUAGUCC
rnacentral:rRNA from 1 species